UGAUGUCAAGAUAAAUGCAGAUCUGCCCCUGUUAUCCAUCUCCUAAAGGCACAAGACUGCAUAUCUUUUUUUUUUGUUUGUUUGUUUUUCUCCGGUACCGGGAACCGAACUCACGACCUUGAGCUUGCCAGGCAGGCGCUUUGCCGCUGAGCUAAAUCCCCAGCCCCUUAGACUGCAUAUCUUUGUAUAGCCUAGAAGUCUUGGGAGUUUGGCUUUUGCUCACCUUCCUGUCUCCUCUCUCACCGAGGCCUACGUUCCUCAGCCUUCUCUGCAGACCAGUGACUCUCCAGCUCUUUUGUAUCCUAGGCAGCAGGGCAGCAGGCAUGUUCAGUAGAGGGCCAGGUGGAGCGGAGAGGAAAGAAGGCCCGACUAGGGAAUGCAGCAGAGUGUGCCGGGUAAACACUGGAGGCUGCAGAAUGUUCUGGAUCUCCACUUUGCUAAAAUAGGAGCCAGUCAGGAAAGUGGCAGCUGAAUGGUGCAAAAGUGGAUUUAUUUACAUUAAAUAAUACCCUGCCCACUCCCCGGAACCUGGGAUCUGGCCCCUCCUCUGAGUCAGAACGGGAGACUGCGCUCCGUGCAUCGGUAGAAAUUUACUUUCUACGCUGCUUUGCGGUGUUCGGGAUUUGUGUUGGCUGGGAGCAUAAAUCAUUUUUCAAAACGAAUUUUAGUGGAAAUGUUAUUCUUUCCAAUUAAUUAGGGUUUGGAGGCUGAUGUUAUUUGCGCUCAACAAAAAUAUCCAGUCUGCUCAUGAACUAAAAAUGGUUUAAAACUACGGAAGAAGGUGUCUUCCAGCUGAAGGUGUAUUUGGG
ensembl:lincRNA uncharacterized LOC102024871